AAGUAAUUUAGAUACUCUAAUUAAAAUAAUGACUUUUAUGGUGUUUAUUUAGGUUAGCUCUAGAAGUAUCUUUAUCAUUCCAAAAAUCAGACGCAAGAGUGCUCUUAUUCCAACAAUCUUCUCUUCGUCUUUUCAACUGGUAUAGUCAUCACAUGAACUCUGAAUUAUAGUUACAAGCACCGUCAACCUAAAAAGGUAAGUUUAUGCUAUUUUACUUAGCACAGUCAAUGCAUAAACUAUUACUUUAUACGUAAUUGACAAUAACUAUUAUUUUGUAUGUGUCAUUGGAAUGAAUGAAGUGUUCUUUGUGGCUGUUAAAGAAUUUAUGCUCUUCGCAUUAGUAAUACCAUGAUAUAAGUUAUGUCAAUUAUGUUUGCUUUGUCGUGUAAGCUUUGAAUGAGAAAUCCUGUGCUUUUCAUUA